rnacentral:rRNA from 1 species
GCCUACGGGGGGCAGCAGUGGGGAAUAUUGCGCAAUGGGCGAAAGCCUGACGCAGCGACGCCGCGUGAGGGAUGAAGGUCUUCGGAUCGUAAACCUCUGUCGGCAGGGAAGAACGGUCACUGUGCUAAUCAGCAGUGAAUUGACGGUACCUGCAAAGGAAGCACCGGCUAACUCCGUGCCAGCAGCCGCGGUAAUACGGAGGGUGCGAGCGUCAAUCGGAAUUACUGGGCGUAAAGCGCUCGUAGGCGGUAUGUCAAGUCAAGGGUGAAAUCCCCGCGCUCAACGUGGGAACUGCCUUUGAAACU